CAUGCAGUCGACGAGAAAGUCGGCUUCGGCCGAUGAGUAAAGUGGCGCACGGGUGAGUAACGCGUGGAUAAUCUACCCUUGAGUCUGGAAUAACCUACCGAAAGGUGGGCUAAUACCGGAUAAUGCUCCGCAACGCCUGUUGCGUAGCCAAAGAAGGCCUCUGCUUGCAAGCUUUCGCUGAAGGAUGAGUCCGCGUACCAUUAGCUAGUUGGUAGGGUAAUGGCCUACCAAGGCGACGAUGGUUAGCUGGU
rnacentral:rRNA from 1 species